rnacentral:rRNA from 1 species
CCUACGGGUGGCAGCAGUGAGGAAUAUUGGUCAAUGGGCGAGAGCCUGAACCAGCCAAGUCGCGUGAGGGAUGACGGCCCUACGGGUUGUAAACCUCUUUUGUCGGGGAGCAAAGUGCGGGACGUGUCCCUUCUUGAGUGUACCCGGUGAAUAAGCAUCGGCUAACUCCGUGCCAGCAGCCGCGGUAAUCCGGGGGAUGCGAGCGUUAUCCGGAUUUAUUGGGUUUAAAGGGUGCGCAGGGGGUAGGGUAAGUCCGCGGUAAAAUUGUGAGGCUAAACCUCUUCCCGCCGUUGACUCUGGGAGUCGUGAGUGGGCGAGAGGUAGGCGGAAUGCGUGGUGUAGCGGUGAAAUGCAUAGAUAUCACGAAGAACUCCGAUUGCGAAGGCAGCGUACCGGAGCGCAACUGACGCUGAUGCACGAAAGCGUGGGUAUCGAACAGGAUUAGAUACCCUUGUAGUC